AACGAACGUUGGCGGCGUGGAUUAGGCAUGCAAGUCGAACGCGAAUCCCUGGGCAACUGGGGCGGAGAGUGGCGAAAGGGGCAGUAAGGCGUGGGUAACCUACCCUCCGGGCCGGGAUAGCUUCGGGAAACUGAAGGUAAUACCGGGCGACGCAGCGAGAUCGCAUGGUCUUGCUGCCAAAGGUCCGCCGCCGGGGGAGGGGCUCACGUGGUAUUAGCUAGACGGCGGGGUAACGGCCCACCGUGGCAAAGCUGCCUAGCAGGUGUGAGAGCACGACCUGCGCCACGGGCAAUGGGACACGGGCCAGACGCCUACGGGUGGCUGGAGUCGGGGAUGUGCGGCAAUGGGCGCAAGCCUGACCGAGCGACGCCGCGUGUGCGAUGAAGGCCUUCGGGUUGUAAAGGACUGUCGAGGGGGAGGAAGCCGCAAGGUUGACCUAUCCCUGGAGGAAGCACGGGCUAAGUUCGUG
rnacentral:rRNA from 1 species